rnacentral:rRNA from 1 species
GACGAGCCACACGAACGUUAUUCGGAAUUACUGGGCUUAAAGGGUGCGUAGGCUGCGCGGAAAGUUGGGUGUGAAAUCCCUCGGCUCAACCGAGGAACUGCGCCCAAAACUACCGUGCUCGAGGAAGAUAGAGGUAAGCGGAACUUACGGUGGAGCGGUGAAAUGCGUUGAUAUCGUAAAGAACACCUGUGGCGAAAGCGGCUUACUGGGUCUUUUCUGACGCUGAUGCACGAAAGCUAGGGGAGCAAACGGG